UGCCAGCAGCCGCGGUAAUACGGAGGGUGCAAGCGUUGUUCGGAAUUAUUGGGCGUAAAGCGCGUGCAGGCGGUCUUGUCCGUCAGGUGUGAAAGCUCGGGGCUCAACCCUGGAAGUGCAUUUGAAACAGCAAGGCUUGAAUACUGGAGAGGAGAGAGGAAUUCCUGGUGUAGAGGUGAAAUUCGUAGAUAUCAGGAGGAACACCGAUGGCGAAGGCAUCUCUCUGGACAGAUAUUGACGCUGAGGCGCGAAGGCGUGGGUAGCGAACAGGAUUAGAUA
rnacentral:rRNA from 1 species